ACCCUCAUCCCGGCACGUGAUGACGUAGGACGUAAGGACGCCCCCCCCCGCCGGUAGCCAUCUUCGUGCAUAGGCAAACUUAUUGUAGCUAGACUGUACAAAGUAUAUCAAGAUAUGCCAAAUAUUGAGCUUAACUUCACCUGUUUGAGAGACGUGUUGUGAACCACUUGUCAUGGGAUAACCAAAAUUAAACCUGGAAUCGCAGAAGAAACAAAUUUUUUGAAGAAAUUGGAUGUACUUUUUUAAAAUUUUUCAUUCAACUAAAACUUUGUUAACUGUUUCUUGGUUGUGGUCUUCUCUAAAUUGUAAUCUUUGGCAUUCACUUCCAAAGUAUCCACCACUAAACUUCAUAACAUUUAUUGUGUCUCUUCAUCAUUAAACUUUGAUGAAUUUACAGAGUGUCUUUUGAAAUUAUGUUCUUGAGAAAGCCAGGGGAUUGGACGGUGUCAUGGAAAUGUCAAAGAAAAAGUGACACCUGAGAGAAAAUUUGAAAGAUGAAAGUGCUGUUAAUACGGAAACUGGUCUAAUAUGGAAAACAGGUGAACAUGGAGCUGCUUUGUUUGACUCAGGGAUGAGAGAUACCCAGGUCCUAAUUACUUGUCUUUAACUUUCCUUAGGGAGUACUAAUUUGGGAGUCAUUGUUCUAAACAAUUAAAGUGAAGUAACUGUCCUGUUUUUCUCUUUUACCCUUGUGAACGAGGAAGCUCAGGGUUAAAGUCUAUGUCUUUACUUAUACAUUUCUGUGUUGUAGGAUCUUUUAAUAAAGAUUUUCUCCUUUU
rnacentral:lncRNA from 1 species